GAAAGUUUUUCUGGUUGAAGAUGACCUCGCGGCCUAUCAGCUUGUUGGUGAGGUAAUGGCUCACCAAGGCGACGACGGGUAGCCGGCCUGAGAGGGCGACCGGCCACACUGGGACUGAGACACGGCCCAGACUCCUACGGGAGGCAGCAGUGGGGAAUAUUGGGCAAUGGAGGAAACUCUGACCCAGCGACGCCGCGUGCGGGAUGAAGGCCUUCGGGUUGUAAACCGCUUUCAGUAGGGAAGAAGCGAAAGUGACGGUACCUACAGAAGAAGCACCGGCUAACUAUGUGCCAGCAGCCGCGGUAAUACAUAGGGUGCAAGCGUUGUCCGGAAUUAUUGGGCGUAAAGAGCUCGUAGGUGGUUUGAUACGUCGGGUGUGAAAUUCAGGGGCUCAACCCCUGACCUGCAUUCGAUACGGUCAAGCUAGAGUUUGGUAGGGGAGACUGGAAUUCCUGGUGUAGCGGUGGAAUGCGCAGAUAUCAGGAGGAACACCGAUGGCGAAGGCAGGUCUCUGGGCCAAUACUGACACUGAGGAGCGAAAGCGUGGGGAGCGAACAGGAUUAGAUACCCUGGUAGUCCACGCCGUAAACGGUGGGCGCUAGUUGUGCGAACCUUCCACGGUUUGUGCGACGCAGCUAACGCAUUAAGCGCCCCGCCUGGGGAGUACGAUCGCAAGAUUAAAACUCAAAGGAAUUGACGGGGCCCCGCACAAGCAGCGGAGCAUGCGGCUUAUUUCGACGCAACGCGAAGAACCUUACCAAGGCUUGACUUAU
rnacentral:rRNA from 1 species